rnacentral:rRNA from 1 species
AUUGAACGCUGGCGGCAGGCCUAACACAUGCAAGUCGAGCGGAUGAAGGGAGCUUGCUCCUGGAUUCAGCGGCGGACGGGUGAGUAAUGCCUAGGAAUCUGCCUGGUAGUGGGGGAUAACGUCCGGAAACGGGCGCUAAUACCGCAUACGUCCUGAGGGAGAAAGUGGGGGAUCUUCGGACCUCACGCUAUCAGAUGAGCCUAGGUCGGAUUAGCUAGUUGGUGGGGUAAAGGCCUACCAAGGCGACGAUCCGUAACUGGUCUGAGAGGAUGAUCAGUCACACUGGAAGUGAGACACGGUCCAGAAUCCUACGGGAGGCAGCAGUGGGGAAUAUUGGACAAUGGGCGAAAGCCUGAUCCAGCCAUGCCGCGUGUGUGAAGAAGGUCUUCGGAUUGUAAAGCACUUUAAGUUGGGAGGAAGGGCAGUAAGUUAAUACCUUGCUGUUUUGACGUUACCAACAGAAUAAGCACCGGCUAACUUCGUG